rnacentral:lncRNA from 1 species
UCUAAGGGGGUUAUUUGAUUUUCUGGAGUCCACCCUCUUGAGUUCUUUAUAUAUAUUGGAUAUUAGUCCCCUAUCUGAUUUAAGAUAGGUAAAGAUCCUUUCCCAAUCUGUUGGUGGCCUUUUUGUCUUAUUGACUGUGUCUUUUGCCUUGCAGAAGCUUUGCAGUUUCAUGAGGUCCCAUUUGUCAAUCCUCCAUCUUACAGCACAAGCCAUUGCUGUUCUAUUCAGGAAUUUUCCCCCUGUGCCCAUAUCUUCGAGGCUUUUCCCCACUUUCUCCUCUAUAAGUUUCAGUGUCUCUGAUUUUAUGUGAAGUUCCUUGAUCCACCUAGAUUUGACCUUAGUACAAGGAGAUAGGAAUGGAUCGAUUCACAUUCUUCUACAUGAUAACAACCAGUUGUGCCAGCACCAUUUGUUGAAAAUGCUUUCUUUCACUGGAUGGUUUUAGCUCCCUUGUCGAAGAUCAAGUGACUAUAGGUGUGUGGGUUCAUUUCUGGGUCUUCAAUUCUAUUUCAUUGGUCUACUUGUCUGUCACUAUACCAGUACCAUGCAGUUUUUUAUCACAAUUGCUCUGUAGUAAAGCUUUAGGUCAGGCAUAGUGAUUCCACCAGAGGUUCUUUUAUCCUUGAGAAGAGUUUUUGCUAUCCUAGGUUUUUUGUUAUUCCAGAUGAAUUUGCAGAUUGCUCUUUCUAAUUUGUUGAAGAAUUGAGUUGGAACAGUCAUUUUUAUAAUGCUUAUGAAGCCAAAGUUGAACUAAAGAACCACUAGAAAGAUAAUACACUAUUAAUUGUUUUUAUCUUUCUGCUCUUGUAGAUUACUACAAAAACUUGAAUUGGAGAAUAAGAGUAAAGAGAGGUGCCUUUUUUUUUUUUAAACUAAACUACAAAUUUUAGUUAGUGUUUACUAAAAACAUCUAAAAUGUUUAUGUGUAAAAUAUAUGUGGUGGUUUGAGUGAGAAUGUCCCUUAUAGGCUCCUAUGUUGGAUUAGUUGGUUAACAGUUGGAGGAACUAUUUGGGCAGGAUGAAGAAGUGUAUGUAGCUUUGUUAGAGGUCUCUCACGGGCUUGGCCUUUGAUGUUUAAAAAGCUUAGGCCAUUCUUAGUUACCUCUCUCUACCUCAUACUUAUGGAUCAAGAUGUUAGCUCCCAGCUCUUCCUGUCACCGUGCCUUUGCUCUGCCAUUGUGGACUCUUGCCCUCUGAAAUUGUAAGCCCAGUUAAUGCUUUCUGUAUAAGUUGCCUUGGCCACGGUGUUUUGUCACAGCAAUAGAAAAGUAACUAAGACAAUAAUGAGAUGAAUCCUAAAAGAUAUAUAAUAAAAUUAUUUUUACUCUGUGUAUAAGUGUGUUGUAACCAGACAUAUAAGUUGAAGAUGAAGGGAAGAAACCCUUGAAAUAUAAUGUUUUGUAGUUUUCUUGUCCUAUAGCAAAUCCACAUCCUUUUAAGUUAUUGGGUUAAGAGUUAGUGACUUAAUGCUAUUUAUACUAUUCCUUCAUCCUUUUAGUAAGAACACAUUUCAUCUAUGAUAUUAAAACUUUAUAAAUUUUUCUUUUUCCCAAUUUGGCUGGAGAUUGUUCAGUUUUAUAAAUUCUUCAAAGAGAACCACGUUUUUGUAUUUCUGUUGUUUUCAUGAUCCUUAAAAAUAAAAAUUUAAAAAUAAGAUGAUUUAGAGAAUAAUUUCCAGAGAUAGUAGAGAGUUCCCAUUAAAUCCACAUACACAUUUCCUAUUACUCAAUUUGUCACCAUUUCUUAACCAAAGUUUGUUUCAUUCAUAUUUCUUUAAUUUUUCCCUCAGUUUUUUGUUUGUUUGCUUCAGAAUGCCACUCAGAAUUCUGUUACCAUUCUUUGUUAUAUCUUAGAUACCUCUUAGUCUUGACAGUGUCUCAGGCUCUAGGAUGAUCUCAGAUUUGAAUAAUUGUCAGGUCUACUGUAGAUAACAUGCCUCAAGUGAUAUUUGUUGCUUUUCUCACAGUUAGACUGGGCUUAGGGUUUUGUUUGGUAUUUGAGGAAGAAUCUGAGCAAAAUGAUGUUUUUACUAUAUGCCACUAAUAUUAUUUAAAACUUUAAAACAAAAAAUAUUUUAUUUAUAAUUAUGUGUUUGUAUGUAGGUAUGUGCCUGGUCUACACCGUGAGUUCCAGGGUAACUACAUUAAAAAAAAAAAAAAAAAAAAAAAAAAAAAAGACAAACAAAGCCAACCAGAAUAUUCACCCUGAAUCUUUAGUCUUAGUAAGUGUGAUAAUUGCUUUGUUUUUCAACAAAGUGUUUAACAUUUCUGUUACAUGUAUAUUACAAUGGUUAUGUCUGGUUUAUAAAUGACAUAACAGGUCAGAAGUAUCAACAGUCUGAACAGCUCUCUUUGUAAAUCAGUAACUGAUUUACAGGAAUCAAAUCUCUCUUUGCUUAUGAUUCAUGCCAGUUAUUUCAGGAAAUUAUAACCAUAUCCAUAUUUAUAUCCAUAUCACUGGGGGAAUUUUUUUAUGAUUCUGAAUAAAUGUAUUGGCACAUUUAUUUGCAUGUUUUUUAUCUUAUUCAUUUCAUUUAAAAUUGCAUGUUUACAUUGUAUAUAAAUUGAAUAUCCCUAAUGUAUAUGUCUGAAAUACAGAAUGCUCUAGAAUUUAUUUCAGAAUUUUGUAUUUUAGCAUUUUGGAUAUUAGACGUUCAGAUUAAGAAUGUUGAAAUAGUAAAGACUACAAAAAUAUUCCAAAAUUUG